rnacentral:rRNA from 1 species
UACAGAGGUCCCGAGCGUUGUUCGGAUUCAUUGGGCGUAAAGGGUGCGUAGGUGGCGCUGUAAGUGGGGUGUGAAAUCCCGGGGCUUAACUCCGGAACUGCAUUCCAUACUGCGGUGCUUGAGGACUGGAGAGGAGACUGGAAUUUACGGUGUAGUGGUGAAGUGCGUAGAUAUCGGGAAGAACACCAGUGGCGAAGGCGGCUCACUGGCUCGUAACUGACGCUCAGGCGCGACAGCGUGGGGAUCAAACAGG